UACGUAGGCAGCAAGCGUUGUUCGGAGUUACUGGGCGUAAAGGGUGCGUAGGCGGCUUUUUAAGUUUGGUGUGAAAUCUCCCGGCUCAACUGGGAGGGUGCGCCGAAUACUGAGAGGCUAGAGUGCGGGAGAGGAAAGUGGAAUUCCUGGUGUAGCGGUGGAAUGCGCAGAUAUCAGGAGGAACACCAAUAGCGAAGGCAGCUCGCUGGGACGUUACUGACACUGAGGCGCGAAAGCGUGGGGAGCGAACAGG
rnacentral:rRNA from 1 species